GUGUCUGGAGGUGAUCGGAAGGGACUGGCUGGAGUGUGGCGGGCUGACAGGUCUGAGGCCUGAAGGACUUCCGGGAACCGCAAAGCACGGUGUGCCUCCGCUGUCCUGAAGAAAAAGCCGCGCGCGGACGACUGGCCGGCCCGCGCUUGCAGCUCCCAGAAGUUGACAGGCAUCCUCCGGUGACCGGUGUGAGUAUGGCAUCAGGAUGAUUUGACUGCAAGCAACAGAAAAAUCAAACAAAAAUGGCCUAAGCCAAGAAGAGAAAUGAUUAUUUCACAUUCCAAGAAGUUUGGGAGUCGAGUGGUUAAACGGCUAAUUAAUCUAGAGCUCAACAGUAUCACCCAGGACCCAUUUUCACUAUGGUGGCUAAAGCUCUGCACCCUUCAGGCUUGCACCAUGGCAGCAGCAGUGACAGUAAAGACACCCUUACACCACAAUGCUCCAUGACCAGGGAGAGGGUCUCCUCUCUCCUGCCCCUUUCUGGAGGCUCCACCGAAGAUUUCUCUUCACAUUCCGUUUCUCAUUCCUGAAGCAGUUGCUGGCAACAGGGAUGGACUUACCGCAAUGGGUACAGAGCAACUAAGAUUCACCACUAGGUGAGUCCUUUGGAAAACACUUGGCCAUCCAAUAUAUAAACAAAUCUGGUACUCCUGUCAGGAAAGAGGCAGCACUUUAUGGCUUCUCUUGGGCAUAUCCAAAUUGCUACCAUCACUACUCGUAUUAGUCCAUUUUCACGCUGCUGAUAAAGACAUACCUGAGACUGAGAAAUUUACCAAAUAAAGAGGUGUACUGGACUUACAGUUCCACAUGGCUGGGGAGGCCUCACAAUCAUGGUGGAAGGCAAGAAGGAGCAAGUCAUGUCUUACAUGGAUGGCAGCUGGCAAAGAGAAAGCUUGUACAGGGAGACUCCCGUUUUGAAAACCAUCAGAUCUUGUGAGACUCAUUCACUAUUACAAGAACAGUGCAGGAAAGAUGCACCCCUGUACUUCAAUCACCUCCCAGCAGGUUCCUCCCACGACAUGUGGGAAUUGUGGGAGUUACAAUUCAAGAUGAGAUUUGGUUGGGGACACAGCCAAACCAUAUCACUACUCUUGUGCUUUGGGGCCAUUAUGAAGUAAAACAAGCAUUAUUUGAACACAAGAACUGCAAUACCACCACAGUAGAUCUGAUAACUGUUGGCUACUAAGUGACUAAGGGGCAGGUGAAGUAUACAGCUUGGAUGCGAUGGACAAAGAGGAAGAUCUACCUCCCAGCUGGGAUGGAGCAGGACGAUGCAAGAUUUCAUCACACUACUCAGAAAGGCAUGCAGUUUAAAGCUCGUAAAUUAUUUCAGGAAUUUUCCAUUUAAUAUUUUCAGGCUGUGGCUGACCGUGAGUAACAAACCCAGGAAAGCGAAACUGCAGAACAGUGGAUGGGAGAAAGGGUGAAUUACUGUAUAUUCAUGAGGGAUAUUAGUCCAUAGUUUCUUUUUUCCCUUUUAACAAAUUUUUGGGUUUUGUAUAUAGUUUGUCUGGUUUUGGUAUCAGGGUAAUACUAGCUUCAUAAAAUGAAUUGGAAAGCGUUUCUUCUGUUUUCCUAAAAAGAUUAUAUGGAAUUAGCAUUCAUUCUUUAAACACUUGGUAGAAAUCUUAAGUAAAACCAUCUGAGCUCGGAGAUUUUUUUGUGUGUGUUAUAAAAUUACAUAUUCAGUUUCCUUAAUAUUUAUAAGAUCAUUUUAAUUAUCUGUGUUUUUCAGUGAAACGGGUCAAUUUUCUGUAUGUUGUCAAAUUAAUAUUUGUAGAAUUGUAUUAGUAUUCUUCAUUAUCCUUUUGAUGUCUGCAGAAUCUGUAAUGGUAUCCCUGUUUUAUUUCUGAUAUUAAUUUGUGCCAUUAUGUCUUUUUUUCUUUGUUGAUCUUGUCAGAAGUUUGUCAAUUUUAUCAAUUUGUUCCAAGAACCAGCUCAUUG
rnacentral:lncRNA from 10 species